UACGAGGGGGGCAAAUGUUGUUCGGAAUCACUGGGCGUAAAGGGAGCGUAGGCGGGCUUCUAAGUUAGGUGCUUAAUCCCGGGGCCCAACCCCGGUCGUGCACUUAAAACUGGAAGUCUUGAAUAGUGGAGAGGUCAGUGGAAUUGGGGUGUAGCGGUGGAAUGCGUAGAGAUCCCCAAGAACACCAGUUGCGAAGGCGGCUGACUGGACACAUAUUGACGCUGAGGCUCGAAAGCAUGGGGAGCAAACAGG
rnacentral:rRNA from 1 species